rnacentral:lncRNA from 1 species
UACACACAUGCAAUCAAAGUACAACCGGCAGACAUUUCUCAAGCAUUUAGCAUUGGACAUCAUGCUAGCCUCUGGGGACAGAGAGUUACACAAAAUAUGACUCUCACCUUUAAAAGAUCAUAGUCUUUCUGGAGGUGUGGAAACUAUGAGCAGAGAGAUAGUAAUGCCAGGGACAGCAUCAGAAUUUGUAGAACUCUGUCUUAUCUGGGUGCAGGUACGUGAGCCCCAGCUACUGUUCCAGCACCGUGUCUGCCUGCCUUCUUCCAUGUUUCCUGCCAUGAUGGUCAUGGACUCUGAAACUGAUUUCUACAGAUUGAGAACCGUCUAUUAGGCUCAGAUGAAAACUAUCGUCGCUGAAAGUUCUCAUUUGGAAUCGUUCAGUCAUGCCUAUUAACCCCAGCCAUCGCUGCUCUCCUUUAAAGAGGCAAGUGAAGAGGAAUGGGCUUUCCUCUUGGGCAGCCACUCAAAGCUAGGGAGAGGAGGUCACCUAGGAGAUUGAAAAGGGCAGAAGAGAGUCUCUCCUGCCUGUCUGCCCCAAGGGAGUCUUCUGCUGCUGCGUUUGGAUCAAGUUGUAGAGCUCUUCCAGUACCAUGUCUGCCUGCAUGCUACCAUGCUUCCUGCCAUGAUGAUAAUGGACUGAACCUCUGAACCUGUAAGCCAGCCCCAAUUACAUGUUUGCCUUUAUGAGAGUUGCCUUGGUUAUGGUGUCUCUUCACAGCAAUGGAAACCCUAGCUAAGCUACUGGCCCAUGCUUGAUAUGGACAGAACUCUCUGGAACAGAAUCAACAGAAAUUUCUCUUCCCUGUCUGUGUCAGGUCUGCAGAGAUGGCUCAUCGGUUAAGAGCACUGACUGCUCUUUGCAGAGGAUCUGAGUUCAAUUUCCAGCAACCACAUGGUGGCUCACAACCAUCUGUGAUGGGAUCUGAUGCCCUCUUCUGGUGUGUCUGAGGACAGCGACAGUGAAUUCACAUACCUAAAAUAAAUAAAUAAAUCUUUUUAAGAAGAGUUGUCUGUGUCAGGUAAUCUGAUCACAGCAAUGAAACAUAGCUAAUACUUACAUGAAGUGCACGGUGACCCCGCUGUCAGACAACCCGCAGAAGCCUCUUCCUUUCUGUAUGCUCUCCACCAGGCUCUGUCCCAACAGUUACAGUGGCUUUUGUCUGACACGAGUGUUCUCACGAGUUCCUUUCUCUCGAGCAGUUUAUUCUGUUCAUGCUUCACUAAUUCCUGUCCUGGAGUUCCGACUGCUUCCCCUGCGUCACCCCAGACAGGACAGCCCUUCCUUCUGCUAAUGAGCCAGGCUAAACCGUGUGUCUCAAUGUUUGGUCCAGCACAUAUGUUCACAAUGGGGAAGCAAGGCAAACAGACGGCGAGGCUUGAUUCGCAGUAAGAAGUCAGGACGCUGUGUUUCCUUGUCCGGAGCAGCCCAUGUUGCACCUGGGUACCUGGCAAGAGCAGCUUAAGAAAGCAAGAGCUUAUUUUGGCAGAUCGAGGGUGGGGGAAGACAUGACCACAGGAGUACGAGGUCACCUGGAGUCCACAGUGAGAAAGCAGGCAAGCGAGCGCUCGUGCUCAGCUUGCUUUCUCUAAGCCUAGGAUCCCAGCCCACAGAACGCUGCAACCCACCCACCGCCUGGCUCUUCAUCAGAAAUGAAAUCCUUCUGGAAUCGCCCUCACAGACACACUAGAGGUGUGCUUCCUCAGUGAUCCCAAAAUCUAGCCAGG